GGGGAACCAGGACUCUUACUGUGAAAAAAUUAGAGUGCUCCAGGCAGGCCUAUGCUCGAAUACAUUAGCAUGGAAUAAUAGAAUAGGACGUGUGGUUCUAUUUUGUUGGUUUCUAGGACCGCCGUAAUGAUUAAUAGGGACAGUCGGGGGCAUCAGUAUUCAAUUGUCAGAGGUGAAAUUCUUGGAUUUAUUGAAGACUAACUACUGCGAAAGCAUUUGCCAAGGAUGUUUUCAUUAAUCAGGAACGAAAGUUAGGGGAUCGAAGACGAUCAGAUACCGUCGUAGUCUUAACCAUAAACUAUGCCGACUAGGGAUCGGACGGUGUUAUUUUUUGACCCGUUCGGCACCUUACGAGAAAUCAAAGUGCUUGGGCUCCAGGGGGAGUAUGGUCGCAAGGCUGAAACUUAAAGAAAUUGACGGAAGGGCACCACCAGGGGUGGAGCCUGCGGCUUAAUUUGACUCAACACGGGGAAACUCACCAGGUCCAGACACAAUGAGGAUUGACAGAUUGAGAGCUCUUUCUUGAUUUUGUGGGUGGUGGUGCAUGGCCGUUCUUAGUUGGUGGAGUGAUUUGUCUGCUUAAUUGCGAUAACGAACGAGACCU
rnacentral:rRNA from 1 species